rnacentral:lncRNA from 1 species
AGUUGGGGGGAGUAAAGUAAAAAGAUGUGAUUAGAAACUUGGAAAAGUGAGUUUUUAUGAAAGGGUGAAAAUAUGAAAAGAAACAAGAAAAAGAAAUCACCCUUGAAACCAUAGAGCAAAGAAAAAGAAAAGAAAAAGAAAAGAAAGAAAAAAGCAAAGAAAAUGCUCAUGGUUGUGUGGAUUUGAAAAGAAAAAGAAAAAGAAAAAGAUAGGGAUCAAAGAAAGGGAAAUUGUGUAGAGUUGAAUGUUUGGGAAUGC